AAGUCGUAACAAGGUUUCCGUAGGUGAACCUGCGGAAGGAUCAUUACAAUACGUUACUUCACGUAUCAACCCAACUGUUGAACUGUUUUAAAGCGUCCGAUAGGAAAGAGAUGGGUUAUGAGGAAUCGAUGGCUUUGGAAGCUACGCGCUUCGGUCGGUUUCUUUUUUCUGGUUCUUUGUGACCGGAAGCCCUUUUUUCCUAGUUCGCGUAUUUUAUUCAAUCAUUUUUUUACCCCUUUCACCAAACUAUUAUUUUAAACAACUGUUGAACUUAUGUGAUUGCUGAAAAGCGAUCUCUUUAUUUCUUUACGAAACGUAAGAACAACUCUUAACAACGGAUAUCUUGGCUCUC
rnacentral:misc_RNA from 1 species